AUGUUUUUUAAUCUCCUGACUCUAUAAGGAUUUUUUUAUUUAUUUUUAAUGCUUUAGGAUAUUAUAAUUUUUCUUCUCAUUCUUUGAGGUUCCUCUAAGAAGAAAGCUAGAAAUUAUCUUAUAAUGAGUGAAAUCAUGAGUGGGCGUCGAGGUUCAAUUCUUAAAUGGGGAGUUUUGUCUUGCUUUUCACGAGAGAAUUGAGGCGAUGAGAUUUGUUGUCCUAAUAUGCUGCUACCUUCAGCAGGGGAGCUAGUUAUCACAGAUGAUUAACGGUGAGGUACACACUAUGUAGUUGUUGACCUCGCCCCUCUCAAAAGCAGACGAAACUCCCAAAUCCAUCCCAUUCGAAGUUUCACUCUCUCAGAACUGAAGCCAUCGGAACUCCCUCUCGUCCCCUCUUUGGCUUCCCUCCGCACACAAAUUAACGGCAUCGACCUCACAAUCUCGUCUCCGACUUCUUCUCCCGGUUCGGGUUUGACCCCUACUCAAUAGCCCAUAUUUUGUACUAUGUAAAUAAAUUUUUCUAAAGUUAUUAUAAGUUCAAAUUUAAAAUCA